UACGUAGGGUGCAAGCGUUGUCCGGAAUUAUUGGGCGUAAAGAGCUCGUAGGCGGUUUGUCGCGUCUGCUGUGAAAACUCGGGGCUCAACUCCGAGCUUGCAGUGGGUACGGGCAGACUAGAGUGCGGUAGGGGAGACUGGAAUUCCUGGUGUAGCGGUGGAAUGCGCAGAUAUCAGGAGGAGCACCGGUGGCGAAGGCGGGUCUCUGGGCCGUAACUGACGCUGAGGAGCGAAAGCAUGGGGAGCGAACAGG
rnacentral:rRNA from 1 species